GUUUGGUUGCUCUUCUAGAAAAAUACCACAAAUCCCAAAAGAAUAGAGUAUUGGUUUUUGUCUUGUACAAGUGGGAAACAAAACGCGUUGAGAAUAUGCUGCAAGAGGCAAAUUGGAAGGUUGUUUCAAUACAUGGUGACAAAGCACAGAAUGAACGUACAAAGGCACUAUCAUUAUUCAAGAAGGGCAGCUGCCCCUUAAUGGUAGCUACUGACGUGGCUGCUCGGGGAUUGGAUAUUCCAGAUGUUUAAGUAGUGAUCAACUGUAGCUUUCCUCUCACCACAGAAGACUAUGUCCACAGAAUUGGGCGGACUGGAUGAGCUGGGAAGAAGGGUGUUGCCCAUACAUUCUUCAUGCAGCAGAACAAGGGACUUGCUGGGGAGCUGGUGAAUGUUCUCAGAGAAGCUGGGCAAAUUGUGCCAGAUGCCCUUAAAAAUUUUGCACUCAUGUAAAGAAGAAGGAGUCCAAGCUCUACGGGGCUUACUUCAAGGAAAUUCCUAUAAAUGCUCCCAAGUCUAAAAAGAUCACAUUUGACAACUCGGACGACGAAGAUUGAAUCAUGUGGUAAUCUAAAUGCGUUUCUUCUUAGGUAGGGAUCAAAAGAUUUACAGCUGAUUGUUGAAUACCAAUUGCCCUCCGUCCUCUGCAACGCUAGUGCCAUCAUUUUCCUUGGAAUAUUUUUGCCAUUG